CACAUGUGAAGUUUCUAAAAGUUUAAAUCUGAACACUUUGAUAUUUCAUAUUUUAUUUUUAUUGACUGAAAUAAAUUCAUCACGAGAUAAACAGUUUAACAGCAGAGCUCCGUGUUCCUGAGGAGGAAGAGGAGGAAGAGGAGGAGAGAAUCUUAAAACAGAGCAGGUUAGACGCAACGACAACAGCAGAGGAAAACCAUCACCUCCUCCUCCUCCUCCUCCUCCUCCUCCUGCUCCGGCUGCCAUUUUACAACCACACAAACAUCACCAUCAUCAUCAUCAUCAUCAUCAUCUCGGUCCGGCUCGGUUCUGCUCAGCGGUCUCGUGUCUCUGCUUGGAUCCGACCAGCUGUUCCUCCUCCUCCUCCUCCUCCUCCUCCUCCUCCAGCCGCCGGGAUGCGGCCCGACACGGAGCCGAUUCAUCCGGAGACAAACAACAAACAGACCCCGGCGGGCCGCCCCGGACCACGACACGAACACACAACCCCACCAAGCCGAACCCCCCCUCCAGAACCCAGAGGACGAACCGAACCCGGAGAGAUGAAGAGAUGAAGAGAAAUGAAAGAAGGAUGCUGAGAACUGGGAGGCCAAUGUGCAACAGUAUAUGUCUGUAGAGUUGUUUUGCAGGAAGAUGAAGUGGAGAGACGCGGUUUCAUCCCGGACCCAGCGGUGACAUGCAGGAAGUGCGUCUCCCCACAGAAAUAAGACUGAAGACGGAGCAAACAGUCCUGAGGACGAGGUCGAAGCGAUUAAACACGUACCAAGAAGAUGAUGCUUGUAUCAUGUGAAGAGUUGCAGCUAUGUGCUUCCCUCCCCAUUAGAGCUGUAACUCUUAUUGUAACCAGGGACCUCCCUAAGGAAAUAAAGAGAGUACGUGAGGUGCACUUCAGAGCGGGAGGAGAUUGUAACUGAACGUAUCUCUGCUGUUCUCCUCGCAGUAAAAA